GCUGUGAUGAACUCAGCUUUUUUUGAUCAGCUGAAGUGAUAGAACUUACCUAUCCUCUAAGAAGUUCUGAGCAG